rnacentral:rRNA from 1 species
CCUACGGGUGGCUGCAGUGAGGAAUAUUGGGCAAUGGACGAGAGUCUGAACCAGCAACGUCGCGUGAGUGAUGAAUGCCCUCGGGUUUUAAAACUUCUUUUAUAUGGGAGUACAAUGAUCCUAGUGAGGGAAUUUGUAUUUACCAUAUGAAAAAGGAUAGGCAAACUCAGUGCCAGCAGCGGCGGUAAUACGGGGGAUCGGAGCGUUAUCCGGAUUUGUUGUGUUUAAAGGGAGCGUAGGUGGAUUGUUAAGUCAGUUGUGAAAGUGUGCGGCGCAACCGUAAGAUUGCAGUUGAAACUGGCAGUCUUGAGUACAGUAGAGGAGGGCGGAAUUCGUUGUGUAGCGGUGAAAUGCUUAGAUAUAACGAGGAACUCCAGUUGCGAAGGCAGCUCACUGGACUGCAACUGACGCUGAGGCUCGAAAGUGUGGGUAGCAAACAGGAUUAGAUACCCUAGUAGUC